AGGACGAACGCUGGCGGCGUGCUUAACACAUGCAAGUCGAGCGGAAAGGCCCUUCGGGGUACUCGAGCGGCGAACGGGUGAGUAACACGUGAGUAAUCUGCCCCUAGCUCUGGGAUAGCUCCGGGAAACCGGGAUUAAUACCAGAUACGACCACUUUAGACAUCUCUUGUGGUGGAAAGAUUUAUCGGCCAGGGAUGGGCUCGCGGCCUAUCAGCUUGUUGGUGGGUAACGGCCUACCAAGGCGACGACGGGUA
rnacentral:rRNA from 1 species